GCAGUCGAGCGGUAGAGAGAAGCUUGCUUCUCUUGAGAGCGGCGGACGGGUGAGUAAUGCCUAGGAAUCUGCCUGGUAGUGGGGGAUAACGUUCGGAAACGGACGCUAAUACCGCAUACGUCCUACGGGAGAAAGCAGGGGACCUUCGGGCCUUGCGCUAUCAGAUGAGCCUAGGUCGGAUUAGCUAGUUGGUGGGGUAAUGGCUCACCAAGGCGACGAUCCGUAACUGGUCUGAGAGGAUGAUCAGUCACACUGGAACUGAGACACGGUCCAGACUCCUACGGGAGGCAGCAGUGGGGAAUAUUGGACAAUGGGCGAAAGCCUGAUCCAGCCAUGCCGCGUGUGUGAAGAAGGUCUUCGGAUUGUAAAGCACUUUAAGUUGGGAGGAAGGGUUGUAGAUUAAUACUCUGCAAUUUUGACGUUACCGACAGAAUAAGCACCGGCUAACUCUGUGCCAGCAGCCGCGGUAAUACAGAGGGUGCAAGCGUUAAUCGGAAUUACUGGGCGUAAAGCGCGCGUAGGUGGUUUGUUAAGUUGGAUGUGAAAUCCCCGGGCUCAACCUGGGAACUGCAUUCAAAACUGACUGACUAGAGUAUGGUAGAGGGUGGUGGAAUUUCCUGUGUAGCGGUGAAAUGCGUAGAUAUAGGAAGGAACACCAGUGGCGAAAGCGACCACCUGGACUAAUACUGACACUGAGGUGCGAAAGCGUGGGGAGCAAAC
rnacentral:rRNA from 1 species